rnacentral:rRNA from 1 species
UACGAAGGGUGCAAGCGUUACUCGGAAUUACUGGGCGUAAAGCGUGCGUAGGUGGUUGUUUAAGUCUGUCGUGAAAGCCCUGGGCUCAACCCAGGAACUGCACUCGAAACUUCCGGUCUAGAGUGGUGGAGAGGGAAGUGGAAUUCCUGGUGUAGAGGUGAAAUUCGUAGAUAUCAGGAGGAACACCAGUGGCGAAGGCGGCUUCCUGGACACCAACUGACGCUGAGACGCGAAAGCGUGGGGAGCAAACAGG